ACGAACGCUGGCGGCGUGCCUAAUACAUGCAAGUCGAACGGUCUUUCUAUGGAAGCUUGCUUCCACUGAGAAGAUAGUGGCGAACGGGUGAGUAACACGUGGGUAACCUGCCCAUAAGAGGGGGAUAACAUCCGGAAACGGGUGCUAAUACCGCAUAGUUUUCUUGAUCGCAUGAUCGGGAAAGGAAAGACGGCCUUUGUGCUGUCGCUUAUGGAUGGACCCGCGGCGUAUUAGUUAGUUGGUGAGGUAACGGCUCACCAAGACGAUGAUACGUAGCCGACCUGAGAGGGUGAUCGGCCACAUUGGGACUGAGACACGGCCCAAACUCCUACGGGAGGCAGCAGUAGGGAAUCUUCCGCAAUGGACGAAAGUCUGACGGAGCAACGCCGCGUGAGUGAAGAAGGUUUUCGGGAAUCGUAAAACUCUGUUGUCAGAGAAGAACAAGUUGGAGAGUAACUGCUCCAGCCUUGACGGUAUCUGACCAGAAAGCCACGGCUAACUACGUGCCAGCAGCAGC
rnacentral:rRNA from 1 species